AUUGAACGCUGGCGGCAGGCCUAACACAUGCAAGUCGAACGCAGUGGGGACGGGUGAGUAACACGUGGGUAACCUCCCAUCAGAGGGGAUAACACUUGGAAACAGGUGCUAAACCGAUACUGAUGGAUGGACCCGCGGUGCAUGAGCUAGUUGGUGAGGUAACGGCUCACCAAGGCCACGAUGCAUAGCCAACUGGAGAGGGGGAUCGGCGAAACUGGGACUGAGACACGGCCAAGACUCCUACGGGAGGCAGCAGUAGGGAAGCUUCGGCAAUGGACGAAAGUCUGACCGAGCAACGCCGCGUGAGUGAAGAAGGGUUUCGGAUCGUAAAACUCUGUUGUUAGAGAAGCGGUAUCUAACCAGAAAGCCACGGCUAACUACGUGCCAGCAGCCGCGGUAAUAC
rnacentral:rRNA from 1 species